rnacentral:rRNA from 1 species
CAAUAUCUAUGGUGGCGACCGGCGCACGGGUGCGUAACGCGUAUGCAACCUACCUUUAACAGGGGGAUAACACUGAGAAAUUAGUACUAAUACCCCAUAAUAUCAUAGAAGGCAUCUUUUAUGGUUGAAAACUCCGAUGGUUAGAGAUGGGCAUGCGUUGUAUUAGCUAGUUGGUGGGGUAACGGCUCACCAAGGCGACGAUACAUAGGGGGACUGAGAGGUUAACCCCCCACACUGGUACUGAGACACGGACCAGACUCCUACGGGAGGCAGCAGUGAGGAAUAUUGGUCAAUGGACGCAAGUCUGAACCAGCCAUGCCGCGUGCAGGAUGACGGCUCUAUGAGUUGUAAACUGCUUUUGUACGAGGGUAAACGCAGAUACGUGUAUCUGUCUGAAAGUAUCGUACGAAUAAGGAUCGGCUAACUCCGUGCCAGCAGCCGCGGUAAUACGGAGGAUUCAAGCGUUAUCCGGAUUUAUUGGGUUUAAAGGGUGCGUAGGCGGUUUGAUAAGUUAGAGGUGAAAUUUCGGGGCUCAACCCUGAACGUGCCUCUAAUACUGUUGAGCUAGAGAGUAGUUGCGGUAGGCGGAAUGUAUGGUGUAGCGGUGAAAUGCUUAGAGAUCAUACAGAACACCGAUUGCGAAGGCAGCUUACCAAACUAUAUCUGACGUUGAGGCACGAAAGCGUGGGGAGCAAACAGGAUUAGAUACCCUGGUAGUCCACGCAGUAAACGAUGAUAACUCGUUGUCGGCGAUACACAGUCGGUGACUAAGCGAAAGCGAUAAGUUAUCCACCUGGGGAGUACGUUCGCAAGAAUGAAACUCAAAGGAAUUGACGGGGGCCCGCACAAGCGGAGGAACAUGUGGUUUAAUUCGAUGAUACGCGAGGAACCUUACCCGGGCUUGAAAGUUAGCGACGAUUCUUGAAAGAGGAUUUCCCUUCGGGGCGCGAAACUAGGUGCUGCAUGGUUGUCGUCAGCUCGUGCCGUGAGGUGUCGGGUAAGUCCCAUAACGAGCGCAACCCCUACCGUUAGUUGCCAUCAGGUCAAGCUGGGCACUCUGGCGGGACUGCCGGUGUAAGCCGAGAGGAAGGUAGGGAUGACGUCAAAUCAGCACGGCCCUUACGUCCGGGGCUACACACGUGUUACAAUGGUAGGUACAGAGGGCAGCUACCCAGCGAUGGGAUGCGAAUCUCGAAAGCCUAUCUCAGUUCGGAUUGGAGGCUGAAACCCGCCUCCAUGAAGUUGGAU